rnacentral:rRNA from 1 species
UAGGGAAUCUUCCGCAAUGGACGCAAGUCUGACGGAGCAACGCCGCGUGAGUGAAGAAGGAUUUCGGUUCGUAAAACUCUGUUGUUAGAGAAGAACAGCGCAUAGAGUAACUGUUAUGCGUGUGACGGUAUCUAGCCAGAAAGCCACGGCUAACUACGUGCCAGCAGCCGCGGUAAUACGUAGGUGGCAAGCGUUGUCCGGUUUUAUUGGGCGUAAAGCGAGCGCAGGCGGUCAAUUAAGUCUGAUGUGAAAGCCCCCGGCUCAACCGGGGAGGGUCAUUGGAAACUGGUUGACUUGAGUGCAGAAGAGGAGAGUGGAAUUCCAUGUGUAGCGGUGAAAUGCGUAGAUAUAUGGAGGAACACCAGUGGCGAAGGCGACUCUCUGGUCUGUAACUGACGCUGAGGCUCGAAAGCGUGGGUAGCAAACAGG